CAUUUAGGAUCUCAUGCCUUUGAUCUCCGUACUUGGGAGGCAUAUGCCUUUAAUCCUGGCACUAGGGAGGAGGAAGUAGGAAGUGAUGCGGCUGGGCAGAGAGAGGAAUCUAAGGCAGGCGGCAACAGGAGCUUGUCCCCUUCUAGGCUGAGAGGAUGGUUAGAGGAAUAUGAAGGAUGGAUGGUUAACAACAAAAGCCACGGAUGUGAACCAGACCCUUUAACCAUGGCUUAAGAAGACCUGCAGUGGAAAGGCAAGUGUGUCUAUCAGAAUGACAGCACCUCUAGACAUUUGGAUACAUACCCAGAGAUGCUCAGAGCUCUGCUGGGGAAGGUCUGCUGUCUGGAAAUGAAGGUUGUGGACGUGAGAGCUUCAAGGCCCUGGCUUCGAGAGCAACUGCAACAGGGACUAUGACUUAUUGCUUCCCACUCUGGAGCAUUCCCUUAGGAAUGAGGUCCACAGGCAUAUGCAGAAGCUGCUCCCCAAAUCUGUGAAGAACAGUAAGUUGUGGAUCACAAGUGAUGGACUACAGAAGCCUCCAGCUUUGGCGAGGGCCAUUGGUCAAAGACCACAGCUACUGGCCUCUGCAGUCUAAAACUGUGUUUGUAUUGGGAUUAUACAUGACAUGAAGGACUGGGCCAGCAUGUUCUGGAGAUUCUGGGCUCUCCUGAUGGCUGACUUGGCUCAAGGACUCUCAGGUGUCCUUUACAAACUGUUAUUAGACCGCAUGGACCAUCUGUCUUCCAAAUGUACCUUCCCUUUCUCCUUCACUGGCAUGGCUAUUUGAUGGCUCACUUAGCCAUCUCCAGCUCCUUCCCCGUUUUGUCUCAUUUUCACUAAUAAAACUCUUGCACAUUUGGUUCCUU